UGACGGUAUUCAACCAGAAAGUCACGGCUAACUACGUGCCAGCAGCCGCGGUAAUACGUAGGUGGCAAGCGUUAUCCGGAUUUAUUGGGCGUAAAGAGAGUGCAGGCGGUUUCUUAAGUCUGAUGUGAAAGCCUUCGGCUCAACCGAAGAAGUGCAUCGGAAACUGGGAAACUUGAGUGCAGAAGAGGGCAGUGGAACUCCAUGUGUAGCGGUGGAAUGCGUAGAUAUAUGGAAGAACACCAGUGGCGAAGGCGGCUGCCUGGUCUGUAACUGACGCUGAGACUCGAAAGCAUGGGUAGCGAACAGGAUUAGAUACCCUG
rnacentral:rRNA from 1 species